rnacentral:miRNA from 1 species
GCCGGCGAAAGAGUUGAACUU